rnacentral:sRNA from 1 species
UCCAAAAAUACGUACAUGACUUAAGUCAG